rnacentral:rRNA from 1 species
CGCGGCCUAUCAGCUUGUUGGUGAGGUAAAGGCUCACCAAGGCAUUGACGGGUAGCUGGUCUGAGAGGACGAUCAGCCACACUGGGACUGAGACACGGCCCAGACUCCUGCGGGAGGCAGCAGUGGGGAAUCUUGCGCAAUGGGCGAAAGCCUGACGCAGCAACGCCGCGUGGGGGAUGAAGGCUCUCGGGUUGUAAACCCCUUUCAGCAGGGACGAAAUUGACGGUACCUGUCGAAGAAGCCCCGAAGAACUACGUGCCAGCUGCCGCGGUAACACGUAGGGGGCAAGCGUUGUCCGGAAUUAUUGGGCGUAAAGGGCUCGUAGGCGGUUCGGUAAGUCAGAUGUGAAAGGUUGGGGCUCAACCCUAACACUGCUUUUGAUACUGCCGUGACUGGAGUCCGGUAGAGGAAUGGGGAAUUCCAGGGGUAUUGCUGAAGUGCCCAGAUAUCGCGAGGAACUCCGACGGAAAAGGCAGGACUCUGGGCCGGCACUGACGCUGAAGAGCCAAUGCGUGGGUAGCAAACGGGAUUAGAUACCCUGGAAGUCCACGCCGUAAACGUUGGGCACUAGGUGUGGGCUCUUAUCAACGGGCUCCGUGC